GCUGGAUAUGGUGGCACAUGCCUGUAGUCAGUCCCAAGCUAUUCCAGAGGCUGAGGCUGGGGGAUCUCUUGAGCCCAGGAAUUUGAGAUCAGUCUGGGCAACAUGGUGAAAUCCUGUGUCUA
rnacentral:sRNA from 1 species